AUUGAACGCUGGCGGCAGGCCUAACACAUGCAAGUCGAACGAGUGGCAGACGUGUGAGUAAUGUCUGGGAAACUGCCUUCUGGAGGGGUAUAACUACGGGAAAGGGUAGCUAAUACCGCAUACCAUCAUAUGUGCCCAGCUGGGAUUAGCUAGUUGGGGGGGUAACGGCUCACCAAGGCGACGAUCCCUCGCUGGUCUGAGAGGAUGACCAGCCACACUGGGACUGAGACACGGCCCAGACUCCGAGGGGAGGCAGCAGUGGGGAAUAUUGCACAAUGGGCGCAAGCCUGAUGCAGCCAUGCCGCGUGUAUGAAGAAGGCCGUCGGGUUGUAAAGUACUUUCAGUGGGGAGGCGUUACCGGCAGAAGAAGCACCGGCUAACUCCGUGCCAGCAGCCGCGGUAAUAC
rnacentral:rRNA from 1 species